UCCGGGGAAACACCGCUGGCUGGGUAGCGCGAGGGGCGGGGCCUGCACGGAAGCCAUGUCCGGGGCGGGGCCAGGUGAGUCGCGGGCUGAGCCGAGCCCAGGUGAGGCACCGGCGGAGCUGUAGUCAGGGAAAAAGCGACACCAUGGACAUCAUCCUCCCUCGCCCCAUCCAAGCGGGUGGCUGUCCUGUGGCCAGAUGUGCGCUCCUACUUCUGAGAUGGGUAAAGAAAUCAGUCCUUGUCCUUGAAGCUCAACCAGUGAUUUGGUUCAUGACUUCCUACACUGAGCACGCACGCAGACAUGUCGAGAUCCCAAGAAGAACUCGGCACGUUGUGGGCAGAACCCGGGGGCAGGAGAGAGGUGCCUGCUUUUACCACAAGUGUCCAGUGUGGAUCAGGGAGCCGGGCAACCACAUCUUCCUGUUUCUCCUUUCUUGAAAAAGUUGAGAAAUGCAAGAGCGGCCAUCCUUUCAGGAACGAGGAGGCAUUCUCAACGGCUCAAGGACUCUCUGUGUGAAGUCAGAGAUCUCCAUCUGGGUUCCGUCUGGGGAAGGAUGGGCUCAGUGAAUUGUCCCUGAGGGCUUGGUCCCAAGGACCUGUGCCCGGUCACAAGUUUGGGGAGAAGGUCACCUAUUUCAACUAUCUGAGUGAGCUCCGUGAACACCUCAAAUACGACCAGCUGACCGUCCCCCCGGAGGUUCUGCAGUGAGUGAGAUCCUGUCCUGGGAGGCGUGGGCUAUGCCCUCGAGCUUCCUUGGGCCUCCGUCCCAUCCCGGUAACGCUGAAGGCUUAAUUUUCAGACGUGUGCCCGGCCAGAUCUGGUUCCGAAAUCUGCGGCCUCAACAAAGAUUCACAGUAAAAGAUGCUAACUGCUGACUCAGAGCAGCGAGGCUGAGGAUGGCUGUGUACACGGAUGAGAUGUGCUCCUCACCCACCACUGCAAAACUGCUUAACGAAAAAAGUCAGCCACGGUGGCAACUGCUGUUCGCUGCCUUGGCGUUUGCCGUUCUUGCUUUGGAGCAGAGAACGGGGGCGAUUUCUCGGGUGUGUGGAUGGCACCGUGGACAGCAUGAAAUGUUCCCAGGCCCACUGCAGGUGUUCUGGAGGACAGCCCACCUGGUGCUUCCGGCUAGAAGCCUAGUUAACGUGUCUGCUGCUUUGUUUUAUACAGCAGUGGUCCCCCACUUGGACAGGGCGUCAGGUGGGCGGAGGGAGCCCAGGAAGGUGUGUGGUCGGUCCCCGACCCACCGUUAGCUCCGGGUGGAGCUCAGUCUCUGAGCCCUGCCUGAGCACCCUCUGCCCUUUGCAUCACCCUCUCUGGGGGCUCAAUGGAGCCCCCAGAGAGGGUGCAGGGUCCUCGCCAAGCUGCACGCAGGUGAGGCCGGCAGCCCCGCAGGGGGAGUGGAGAUGUCGCGCUCCCUCUGGGUGCCAAGUCACAGGCGCUGGGGAUAUUAGAGCCGUGUAGGGAGUGUCUGCCCACAGGACACUCGCAGGGAGUGGGGCCACGAGUCGGUGACAGUAGGAGCCGAAAGAAGGGCUGAACCCAGCUAGGGAGGGGACCGGUGAAGAGGGGAUGUCAGGGAAGGCUUCCAUGAGGAGGUGACUUCUGAAGUGAGUUUCAGAGGGACUGUUGGCUACAUCGAGAGUCCAGGGAGAGGUGUUUCCUGCAGAGAGAAGCUCUUGUGUAGACACGUGGGUGAAGUAUUGGCCAGGGGCUGGUAGGAGAGCCUGGACAUUUGACAGAGGUCGGAUGACCCUUGCUGGCUUGUGUGUGUUCCUGUGUGUGCAUGUGCAAGACAGCCGUAAGGCACGUGGGCCCAGAAGAUCGGAACGCUCAGGUGUCCUGCAGACCUUUGUGGGGCAUCUGCCCCCAACAGCACCUGGAGCCAGCCCCUUGUGGCCCGAGGCUUCUCGCCUGCAGGGUGACAGCUGUGCUUCCUCUGUGUCCACAGAUACGACGAGGAGCUUCGGAACCUGCACGCGGGCAGGCUGCCCCCUCCCACAAAGACGGCCCUGCCGCGGCGCCCUCUGCCCACCCAGCGGUUUGACAUCAGUCUGCGAUAGUAAGUGAGCCUCCACGUGGUCUGCCCUUGUUUUCUGGGAGGGUGGGAUGCUUCCGUGUGCCGGGAAGUUCUCUCCAGACCUUGGCCUCUGCAUCCGAGCUUAACCCCGCAGGAAAACUGAAGUGUGAGCUUGACACUGAGGCCGGAGUGCCCGCCGCUGUGUGUGUCUGUGUGCAGAGGACCCAGCCGUGGGCAGGGAGGGGACCGGGGGCCUGGGGUCCUCGGCCCAGCUUUCGUCACCACUGCUCACUGGGCGGUUCUGGCCCCCGACCCACAGGCCACGCUGGGACACCUCCCACCACCUUCCACGAGAAGUGUGGCCACGUGCUUUGCUCUGGCCAAGGAGACAGGAGUGGCCACGGGGCGGGUCACCUCCUGGAGGGAGCUUCAGGGGCCAGUUCAUAGUUCGCCUCUCGUGGUGACGGAAGCCGGGUGGAGAUGGUGCCUCGCUGGCUGCGUCCCUGAGUGACCACAGAGUGCCUCCCACUGACACCCACGCUGCGGGAGGGCACAAGUGAGGGGUGAACUUCUGUGGGGUUCAGCUGCCAGUAUUUAGGGACUCUUGUUACCACGGUGUGUCCUACCCUUCCUGCCUGAUCUUACCCUUAUUAGGCCACAUGACCUUGAACUCACUCCCCCUCUCAGCUUGUUUCCUUAUUUCUAAAAUCAGCAAGUUGGAUGAUGUGAUCUUUAAUCUUCACUCCUUGGAAACGAUUCUGGGCCAACUGUCCAUGCCAACUUUGUCUCUUUUAAGACUCAUCUCACCUCCUCCAGGAAGCCUUCCCUGAUGCUCUAGACUGCAUACAGGGCCCCCCUCUAUCGCAACCCAGAUCUGAGCAGGCUGCUGUGGGGAGUCCCACCAGCUGCUUUCCCUGCUCAGCGACGAGCCCCUUGUCCUCCUCCUAUUUUCUGCCUCUGGCACCAGGCCAGGUGCUGAGGGCACCUGAAAUGAUGGAAGAUGAAGGGGUUGUUUUAACCGUACAACCACCGUUGGGCACUUGGGUCUGAGCUACACGAUGUACAGGGCCUGGAGGGUGGUGGAUCCCGGAGAGGCGUAUGCUCAAUUUCAUUUGUUAGUAGUUUCUUGUUAGAAACUUGCAUGUGAUCUGUUUCUACAUAAAAAUCUGAUGAUCUUUAAGACCCAUGUUGGAUUUUUUUGGGUUGCACUGGGUCUUUGAUGCUAUGCGGGGGCUUUCUCUAGUUGCGGCGAGCGGGGGCUGUUCUUCGUUG